CCUGCCCCUAAAAGUGUGGCAGGCUUGGCUGCUGUGUCACAUGGAUGUCAGUAGGUGGCAGAGAGGAGAGAGGCUAUGUCUAUGUUCAGUGCUCUGAAGGAUUAGAAGCCUAACACU
rnacentral:snoRNA from 1 species